rnacentral:rRNA from 1 species
AUUGAACGCUGGCGGCAGGCCUAACACAUGCAAGUCGAACGAAUGGCGGACGGGUGAGUAAUUUCUGGGAAACUGCCUGAUGGAGGGGGAUAACUACUGGAAACGGUAGCUAAUACCGCAUACCAUCGGAUGUGCCCAGAUGGGAUUAGCUAGUAGGUGGGGUAACGUCUCACCUAGGCGACGAUCCCUAGCUGGUCUGAGAGGAUGACCAGCCAAACUUGAACUGAGACACGGUCCAGCCUCCUACGGUAGGCAGCAGUGGGGAAUAUUGCACAAUGGGAGCAAGCCUGAUGCAGCCAUGCCGCGUGUAUGAAGAAGGCCUUCGGGUUGUAAAGUACUUUCAGCGGGGAGGCGUUACCCGCAGAAGAAGCACCGGCUAACUCCGUGCCAGCAGCCGCGGUAAUAC